CAGUUGAGAUUCAGACCUUGACAGUUGUAACCGAUAGACUGGGCUGGGGCAACGCUGAUGAAAGGCAAAUUCCUGAGAGAAAAAUCACCCAGAGUAAGGAGUUUGGCACUGUAGACUAGAUUCAGCUGCAGGAAUUGUGCACUAGAAAAAUGCAGUGUUUCUUUUUUUUUUUUUUUUGAGACGGAGUCUUGUUCUGUCGCCAGGCUGGAGUGCAGUGGCACCAUCUUGGCUCACUGCAACCUCUCUCUCCCGGGUUCACAAGAUUCUCCUGCCUCAGCCUCCUGAGUAGCUGGGAUUACAGGCACCCACCACGAUGCCCGGCUAAUUUUUAGUAGAGACAGGGUUUCACCAUGUUGACCAGGCUGGCCUCGAACUCCUGACCUCAUGUGAUCUGCCCGCCUGGGCCUCCCAAAGUGCUGGGAUUACAGGUGUGAGCCACUGCGCCCGGCCAAGAUGUGGUGUUUCUAAUGGCAGGCACUUGAACCCAAUUGAACCCUGAGAGCUCUCUGAGAGGGCUGUGUGUCUUGGGAAUGAGAGAGUUAUGAGUUUUUCAGUGCCUUCUCUAGCUUUCUAGAAGUUGUUAUGAGUGGACCUGACUACCUAGAGAGAGUAAUACAGAAGCUCCGUGCCGAUCACAGCUACCUCAUUACCAUGUUCCUCCAAGAUGGCCGCCCCUGAGGAGAAUCAUCAACUGGGCUUUACGGAAGAGAGAAAUCCAAACGACCAUCAGCAACAAAUGAAAGACUGAAGUUGAAAGGAAAUCCAUAAUUUUUGAAUGCUGGCCGAGGUCUGUGACCUCUGACUGAAUGGUUUCCAAGCUCCGAAUUCCUAGGUGAUGUUUUCAUUUGUUCACACUUGCUGAAGAAGGGAAAGGCUCUCUGAUUUACGUGUAAGCAAAACAAUCUAAACAGUAGGAUAAAAUCAUGUUGGAAUGGAGUUCUGUGUGGAUGCUCCUUUGAACCAAAUCAGUUCCACAACUGACCCUGUCAGGGACAUAUAAAUUUAGCAUUUUGGUGUGGAUACAGAAGACGAGAUUAACACAGAUCAAGUAACAUGGAAAUAAAAAAGGAGACAAUGCUGGAUGAUACAGGGGCAGCCAACAAGAGGAGAAAACCCAAGCAUUGGCAAAUGCCUCAUUAUCCAAAGAACACUGUAAAAGAAAGCCUGAGGAGGCUUUCCCCUCUGAGUUUUUCCGUGGAUUGCUGGACUCUGAGGCCCUCAUUCCUCUUGCAGGAGGUGUGGAGCAAAACUGUGUUGAAUGAACUGUAGAUGGAAAUUCUCUCCUUCCCACCGAGGAGCCGCUGCAGGUUGCAGACUCCCAGAAUGCCACACUGAGAAGAGGAGGGCUAAAAUUCUAGAGCAGAAUCCCUGGGGCAGCCCCUGCUGAAGAAGGGUGCAUCUGUUGAGAAUCUCAUCACCGCCCCCACCCCGCCCAGCCUUCAAUUUAGAGGAAUUUCUAGUUCACGCAGAAUGAAGACAAGAUCACAUAAGUGAGGACGACGCCCCAUUUACAAGUGUGAUUUGGAAGACUGAAGUGGAAACCUUGGGAAGGGGCCUCAGAGUAUGUCAGCUGGGGUCAGACGGGAACAGGAGUCUGGCUCAACACACAUUUAUUGCACUCCUGUUUCAUGCCAAGAAAUGUACCAAAA
ensembl:lncRNA LINC01206 long intergenic non-protein coding RNA 1206